GCCGUCGUUUGCCAGUGGCAGGCCGCUCCCGCUCCUUUGAUAAAGUCGUGGCAAGUUAUGGGAGUGCGGGGGUUCGAAUCCUCCGACGGCA